rnacentral:rRNA from 1 species
AGACGACGACGGGUAGCCGGCCUGAGAGGGCGACCGGCCACACUGGGACUGAGACACGGCCCAGACUCCUACGGGAGGCAGCAGUGGGGAAUAUUGCACAAUGGGGGAAACCCUGAUGCAGCGACGCAGCGUGCGGGAUGACGGCCUUCGGGUUGUAAACCGCUUUCAGCAGGGAAGAAGCGCAAGUGACGGUACCUGCAGAAGAAGUACCGGCUAACUACGUGCCAGCAGCCGCGGUAAUACGUAGGGUACGAGCGUUGUCCGGAAUUAUUGGGCGUAAAGAGCUCGUAGGUGGUUGGUCACGUCUGCUGUGGAAACGCAACGCUUAACGUUGCGCGUGCAGUGGGUACGGGCUGACUAGAGUGCAGUAGGGGAGUCUGGAAUUCCUGGUGUAGCGGUGAAAUGCGCAGAUAUCAGGAGGAACACCGGUGGCGAAGGCGGGACUCUGGGCUGUAACUGACACUGAGGAGCGAAAGCAUGGGGAGCGAACAGGAUUAGAUACCCUGGUAGUCCAUGCCGUAAACGUUGGGCACUAGGUGUGGGGGGCAUUCCACGUUCUCCGCGCCGUAGCUAACGCAUUAAGUGCCCCGCUGG